CUCAGGACGAACGCUGGCGGCGUGCCUAAUACAUGCAAGUCGAACGCACGAAGUUGAAGAGCUUGCUCUUUAACCAAGUGAGUGGCGGACGGGUGAGUAACACGUGGGUAACCUGCCCAUUAGAGGGGGAUAACAUUCGGAAACGGAUGCUAAUACCGCAUAGUUUCAGGAAUCGCAUGAUUCUUGAAGGAAAGGUGGCUUCGGCUACCACUAAUGGAUGGACCCGCGGCGUAUUAGCUAGUUGGUGAGGUAAUGGCUCACCAAGGCAAUGAUACGUAGCCGACCUGAGAGGGUGAUCGGCCACACUGGGACUGAGACACGGCCCAGACUCCUACGGGAGGCAGCAGUAGGGAAUCUUCCGCAAUGGACGAAAGUCUGACGGAGCAACGCCGCGUGAGUGAAGAAGGUUUUCGGAUCGUAAAACUCUGUUGUUAAAGAAGAACAAGGAUGA
rnacentral:rRNA from 1 species